rnacentral:tRNA from 1 species
GGGGAUAUAGCUCAGUUGGUAGAGUGUUUGCCUCACAUGCACAAGGCCUUCCAUUCAAUCCCCA